rnacentral:rRNA from 1 species
UACGUAGGGGGCAAGCGUUGUCCGGAAUCAUUGGGCGUAAAGAGCGUGUAGGCGGCCCGGUACGUCCGCUGUGAAAGUCGGGGGCUCAACCCUCGAAUGCCGGUGGAUACUGUCGGGCUAGAGUGCGGAAGAGGCGAGUGGAAUUCCUGGUGUAGCGGUGAAAUGCGCAGAUAUCAGGAGGAACACCAAUUGCGAAGGCAGCUCGCUGGGACGUAACUGACGCUGAGACGCGAAAGCGUGGGGAGCAAACAGG